GAGUCGGUGGUUCAGUGGUAGAAUGCUCGCCUGCCACGCUGGCGGCCCGGGUUCGUUUCACGGCCGAUGCA
rfam:Haemonchus placei strain MHpl1 genome assembly, scaffold: HPLM_scaffold0002045